CUGAGGAUAUGUAUUUCCUCGGUCUGUAUGUCAUUUGUAUGUAUGUUUUAAUGCUGAUCAUUAGGUAUUGGAUAACCAACUGGUGUCCUCUUCCCUGGAGAAGACUUUCUCCCACUCUCGGCAUUCCACAGUUGCCUGUAGUGUCUUUUGUAGUAGGAGUCUAUCUGAUCUUCACAGCAGAAGUGGAAACAGGGCCUAAGGCAUAAAUGUACUUUCAGACUCCUCUUUCCUCUCUGGCUGCACCCAUUGCGCCAUUGUCCUGGAGACCGGUGGAUGCCAUUGCUGCUGAAGUUCUGGGGAGGAGAGACAGAGAGACCUCACUGAAGGGGCAGGCUUGUCAUAGUGCUCUGGUCACAGAGCCCAGGGACAGGCUUUAGUAAAAUGAGAAGUUUCCUGUCUUCAAUCAUGCCAAACAUAAAUCCUUUUCCUUCAGCAGUCGUGACCUCUUGGUUUCCCUUUGAUGUGAUGCAGGCUAACAAUCUCCCACAGACAUCAUUGCUGUGGUCCUCAGAGCCAAGGCCGGCGGCCUGGUGUGGCUAGAGUGACGGAUGGGCUCUGAUGACGAGAGGUCCAAGGGAUUCUGGGUAAAAGGUACUUCUGAGGAGCCCAGAUGCAUGCUCUGACUCGCUUUUUUAUCUCUUGUUGUUGCUGUUAUUGUUAUUAUUAUUAUUAAUCAUUAAUUAUUCGUACUAGGGGUUGAAUUCUGGAUAAGCACUCUGGUAUUGGGCUACAUCUCCUUCCUUUUUUUUUUUUUUUUUUUUUUUUUUUUUUACCAUUUAUUUAGAUCCCCUUGCCCAGGUCGGUCUUGAACUCACUCCUUACUCCAAGCAAGCCUUGAACUCACAAUCCUCUUGCCUUGAUCUCCCAUCAAGUAAGAUUCCUUUCCUGUCCUGGCCCAACAGGCCUGGCUACAUUAGCUCUUGUAGUUGAUUACUGGCUUCUUUAUGUGAAGAUUAUGUUAGAGUUUGGGAACUGUGCUCAGCGUUAGAGUGUUUGCCUAGCAAACACAAGGCCAAUGGGCUUGGUUCCCAUCACCAGCAAGAAAGAAAAAAAAUGUCUUCAGACGCUGCCCUUUAAGCCACAGUCUCUUGAAAGCACUCGGUCCUCUACCUGAAAUGACCUGUCAGCCCUGUCACUGAUUGGCCUCAAGCAUCUGUGGAAAGCUCUGGGUCCAACGUCACCAUCUAAUGGAGACCUUCCCAGGCCCGGAUAAGGUGGGUUUCACAUCAUUCUGUCAGGACGGUGGUGUCUGUCUGCCCAGCUUCAUCUCCUCUGUUGUACCACACUGUCAGGGACCCUGCCGGAUAUCAGUGAGGAUCGCAUGGUCAUCAUAGAGGCUGUCGUACCUACAACGGGUUACUCUGUAUCCUGGCAUCUCUGCCAAGACCGAAAGAUCCCUGAGCACACGGAAUUUCCUUGUUUGUUUUGCACUCCCUACAGGGACCGCUUGUUUGUCACCUCAGGUGCCCUUUCUGAGACUGGAGUUGCCCUACCUGUGAGCAGAGGACCCGGGUCACAUCGCCUGCCCAGCAGUUUCUGACAGGAUUUCCUUUUUACCCUCCACUUGCUUUCUGUUUGUUUGGCUUCUGAGACAGUUUUGGUGUGUAGCCUUCAUAUUGCUACACAGCCUAGGCUGGCCCUGAGCUCAUGGCGGUCUUUUUGCCUCCCCCUCUGGAAUCCUAAAUAACAGAUGCAGCCCCACACACUGGUCUCCCUACUCUGCACAUUGGCGAGCACUGGACCUGAGACACAUGGCCCCACGGAGACACUCUGUAAAUGGGACACCACGGCCGCCUCCCGCCCUCCGUGGCUUGCUCCAUCUACCCUUUCCCGAUACUGUAAGAGAAACGUCUGAUAUAUUCCCCCUAGUUCUCAAAGAUUCCCUGUGAAUUUUUAAUGCAGCGGUGAAUUCCAUCAUGUUUUAUUCCUGAUCCGUCCUUUUUAAGUGGAGCAUUGUGGAUCUUGAGAGCCGUAAGAAAUGGGGGUGAGGUGGGGGGGGGGGCUGCAAGGAGGAUUGCUGUAGACCGGAGUCCUAGCUGUAAAUCCUGAAGUCAAAUUACCUUUGUGAACUAAAUGGUACCUGGGUUUUAUUCAAGUGAAAAUCUGGCCAAUUGACUGUGAUUUAGAAAGAUCACUCUUCCCCAUACUUCAAAUGCUCUGAAAUGGGCCCCGCCACCCCUUUUGCAAUAGCCUGGAGGAACUUAAUGCAAAUCAAGAUUGUAUUGUUUAGUCUGAAGCUAUGGAGGCUGACAGAAAAAUUGGACUGCAAGCAUAUCAAAUGCAGUGUUGAAGGUACGAACUGCUACUUGCCAUUCAAUAGGACACAGAAUUAAGACGGACUUACAGUGCUUACGGCGGGUCAGAUAAUAGGAGCAUAAAAAUCCUCAAGGUAGCUAAUGCACGGAGGAUUUUUGAAGUGCGUGUGCAUCAUGCGUGUGCAUGCACGAGAAGGUCAGAGGUCAACCUCUGAUGAUGUUCCUCAGGAAUCAUCUAUUUUGGGAUGGGCUCUCUCACUGGGGUGUGUGUAGACCUGACUGGCUGGCUGGUAAACUUCCAAGGCUCUGCCUUUCUCUACCUCUCUAGAGCUGAGAUGGCGGACACAGGUCACUUGGCCUACAUUUUCCUCCUAACUGUGGGAAUGGAUCGUCAUGGUUACAUAUGGGCCUAUGUCGCAGGCCUUGAUUUGGUCUCUAGUAAGCCAGACUGUGGCAUGUAGCACAUGGUGGGCCCUGAGCAACACAAGGAGACACCGAUCCACGGCCCUUUCCAUGCUCAAACUCUUACGAGCUCUGCUAAGUCGGAAAACCCUUUUCCAGGCUCCACAGACCUCUGAGACACAGGAGCUCCUUGCAAUCAAUCCUCCGGCUUCGAUGCUACAUUGUAACCAUUCUCAACUCCGGCUGCAGUAGAAUCAUACAGCGAGACUUUUUACUGGGCCUGCGCGUGGGAACUACUCCGCUCCAGUCAGAUCAAGUUCUCUGGAGAGCAGGCCGGCUAUGGUAGCUUUACAAAAGCUCACUACGUGGAGUAAAGAUGGCUCUGUGGUGAAGAGCAGUACUGUUCUUUCAGAGGGCCAGAGUUUGUUUCCCAGCACCCAAUCUAGGGAGACUCACAACUGCCUGGAACUCCAGCUUCAGGGGUAUCCAUCACCCUCUUCUGACCUCUGCUGAUAUUGUGUUCAUGCGCACAUGCCCACCCAUAGACAGACUCAUAAAUACAAUUAAAUCCAUAUGAAUAAAUAUAAUUAAAACUAAUAAAGAUAAAUCCUUUAAAAAUCCAGCUCAUCAGAUACACGUGUGUGUGUGUAUGUGUGUGUGUGUGUGUGUGUGUGUGUGUCUGUGUCUGUGUCUGUGUGUGUGUGUGUGUGUCCCUGUCCGUCCAUGUGUUGGGGUCAUAUGCAUACAUGUGAAUGUGCCUGGAGAUGUUCAUGGUGACCAGAGGUAAUGUUCUUUAGGAGCUGCCCACCUUGUUUUUUGACACAGGGUCUCUCACUGGGAUCUGGGACUAAUGGAGUAGACUAGGUUGACUGGCCAGCUAAUCUCAGAGAGCUACCUAUCACUUGGAAGUGCACAGAAUAAUGCCUGCCCUUUAAAAUGAAUGUCGGAGUUCAAACGCAGGUCUUGCAAGGCAAGUACUCUACCCAAGGCAUCUUCUCAAACCCUCCCAGAUGAUUUAACAUUCAACCUAGGUUGAGAACCACCAGAUCAACUGUCAUAAUUUCAAGGAGAGAGAGAAGAGGGGCGAGGAAGAGGAGGAGACAACGAAACCCCAGUGUUUCAACAAGUUUUUGAAACACUGAGCAGUCCUCCUCCACACAGACUCAGUGUACACUUUCGUGAGGAAUCAUUACCAGUAACUGAAAGACUGUCUCCUCUAUGGCUAGAGAGAUGGCUCAGUGGUUAAGAGUACUCCCUGCUCUUACAAAGGACCCAGGUCAGGUGUUUCACUGCUCCCUUCAGCAUCAAAAGAUCCAAUGUCUCUGGUCUACACAGACACGGUGUUUAUGUGCAUAUAACCAUACAUAUAAUUAAAAAUAAUAAAAAUAAAUAUUUUUUUAAAAAA